CUACGGGUCGCACCAGUGGGGAAUAUUGGACAAUGGGGGAAACCCUGAUCCAGCAAUGCCGCGUGUGUGAAGAAGGCCUGCGGGUUGUAAAGCACUUUCGGUUGGGAGGACUGCUUCUAGCACUAAUAUUGUUGGAAGUUGACGUUACCUUCAGAAGAAGCACCGGCUAACUCCGUGCCAGCGAGGCCGCGGUAAUACGGAGGGUGCAAGCGUUAAUCGGAAUUACUGGGCGUAAAGCGCGCGUAGGCGGCUAGAUCAGUCGGGUGUGAAAGCCCCGGGCUUAACCUGGGAACUGCAUCCGAUACUGUCUAGCUUGAGUACAGGAGAGGAGAGUGGAAUUCCACAUGUAGCGGUGAAAUGCGUAGAUAUGUGGAGGAACACCAAUGGCGAAGGCAGCUCUCUGGCCUGAUACUGACGCUGAGGUGCGAAAGCGUGGGGAGCAAACAGGAUUAGAUACCCGAGUAGUC
rnacentral:rRNA from 1 species